AUGCCAAGGGGUGGAAUGAUGGGAGCAGUCAUAAAGGAUACAUCACUCAAGACAAGCAGGAGAACUUCUAGACAGUAUCAACUUCUUAGCAAACUAAAGAGCGGGUCAACUAAAGGAGAAGGGAAGAUGGAUUUGUUCCUGGUCCUCAAGCAUUUAUUUCUGCAUACUGGUCUUCCAAGCGAUGCUCUUGAAAAUAGGAGCAAGAAUAUAGCAGCAAUCAACCUGGAAAACAAUGUACAAUCACCUGAAGUGUCUGAACCCAGGGCUAAAAUGAAGGGCCCAGGCCUAAUUCUUCAGGAAAUGUGCUGUUUUGUCUUGGACUUGAAGCAGCAAACAUAAAGUAUAUUUUAUAUGAACACAUAUCAGUGCAGACUGCAUUCUGUCUCAAAAACGUGGGCUGCUUUAUCUAAGAAAAAAGGCUUUGUUUUCUGUUUGAAAAAGACAACGAGAAUUUUGGAUGGAAACUGAGAUGAGAACAGUAAGCCGUAUCAGUAACAGUGCUGAUCACAGCUGAAGUGUAUGUUACCAAGGUGACCACACUUACAGACUCAUGCUGAACUCAUCAGUAAUCAAGAGUUUAACUAGCAACAUCUCUAAAAGUUACAUCUCUGCCUUGGCUAAAAUAUAAAAG
rnacentral:lncRNA from 1 species